UACGUAGGGGGCGAGCGUUGUCCGGAUUUAUUGGGCGUAAAGAGCUCGUAGGCGGUUCGAUAAGUCAGGUGUAAAAACUCCAGGCUCAACUUGGGGAGGCCACCUGAUACUGUCGUGACUAGAGUCCGGUAGAGGAGCACGGAAUUCCUGGUGUAGCGGUGAAAUGCGCAGAUAUCAGGAGGAACACCAGCGGCGAAGGCGGUGCUCUGGGCCGGAACUGACGCUGAGGAGCGAAAGCGUGGGGAGCGAACAGG
rnacentral:rRNA from 1 species